rnacentral:rRNA from 1 species
UACGUAGGGUGCGAGCGUUAAUCGGAAUUACUGGGCAUAAAGAGUGCGUAGGCGGUUCUUGAAGUCCGCUGUGAAAGCCCCGGGCUUAACCUGGGAAUGGCAGUGGAAACUGGAGGACUUGAAUUGAGCAGAGGGGGGUGGAAUGCCGCGUGUAGCAGUGAAAUGCGUAGAGAUGCGGCGGAACACCGAUGGCGAAGGCAGCCCCCUGGGCUUAAAUUGACGCUGAGGCACGAAAGCGUGGGGAGCGAACAGG